UCCCUUUUACUCUCUCCCUAUCCCAGGACUCUGUGUGCGCGGGUCUCAUCGAAUACUUGGACAAGAUUCAAGCCUGGACCGUACAGUACCCGGCGUUUGCCAGUACUGUCAGCAUGUUCUAAGCUAUGGUUGGAGUACAGGGUACGUAAACACACAGAUCAUCUAGUGGACCACACGAACAGUUCACAGGCAGAGGCUGGAUCAGACUAUCCAUCAACCACCAGGAAUCAACUCGUUCUCUCGGCUGUCAUACAAGUAGCCUACUUGAUACCUGCGGACUCCGGGCAGACUAAAUUAUCCAAACAAAAAAACAGCUUGAUAAUCAGUUCGCUUAGAUAAAACGAUACAAAAGAAUAAAGAAGAAGGGCUCUCGUGUUAUCCUAACAAAACACAAUAAGUGAACAAUGUGACAAUGGAAAAAAAGUUCAUACCUGUGCGGAAAACCCCCUAGAUCUACAAGAAACAAAAGAGACACCAGUUUCCAAACUUGUAAAAACAUAAAUAGGCCUACUUUAACAUAAAAUCCAAAAUGUGCUUUGAAAUGAAAGCAUUUGUAAAGAUAAAAUUCGCAAUUUAAAUGUAAUACCCAAAUCUAACACAUGUGGAAUAAUGACAAGCUCGUACUUAGGCCUAUCAAAUGCGAUGAAUUACUAAAUGUUAUAACGACGAUAGAUUCAUAUUUUGAGUCUAUAUCCGUAUCAACUCAUAUUGUUAGUAUGCGAUCUUAGACUGAGUUAUAUUUUCUACUUGCGUAUGAUGUGAAAUCAUGAAUAUAUGUACGUUUUUGUUUAUUUUAUAUUACAUGUGGCUUCUAUGUUCCAAAA